rnacentral:rRNA from 1 species
AUGCGUGCUGCAAUAUAUAAGGGCGCCUCUAGUGAAGAUGGGAGAAGCAAAAGCUCUAGUGACCGUAGUGGAUUCUGGAGAAGCAAUAGUGUUGGUAGUAAAGGUAGCGACGCUCCAUCAUGGCGCAAAAAUCUGCCUAACACAAAAGGUCACAAAAAAAUUAAUGGAGGAGAAGGAGAUGUUACCAGCCCGCUCAAAAUCGCACUAGGUGACCAAACAGAACCUACAAGGGGCAAGAAGCUAGUGUUUAAGGAGGAGGAGGAGAGGAAAUCUGGACCUUUUUCAGAAAGGGAACAUAAAGCAGGAGCGGGGUCUGAAGUGACUAAUGAAACAGCAACCCAACCAUGUCAACAUGGCGGUAGUGAAAGGACUCAUGAUGGAAAAGGCAAAAAGGUCGAGAUUGAAGAAAGAGAAGAGAGGUUGGUUCAAAAAUCUGAAACAAAGGGGAAACAAACUACUUUCAGAAGGGUGAAUAAACCAAAAGGGAAGCAACAGAGUGUACCCCUUGUUUUGGGACCCUAG